AUCCCGAGCCCACAUCAGGUAUUGCAAAGCUUUGGUUGAUCCAUAUCUGUCCCAAACAUAUAGAAACGCCAGUACACAUCCCAGACUUUAAUGCAAUUGAGCAUCUUUGGGAGGAAUUAGCUAGGAGAGUGCAUAACAUAAAAUUAAACACAUACAUACUUUUACAAGAUUAUCAAAUAUCUUCUUGGAAGAUUUACCGCUUAUAGCAUGUUGUGUUUUUGAACGAUCGUUCCUUGUAAGAUCUGAAGAUACUGGAAUACCGGUUGUACGCACCCGAAUGACCCGAGUUCACUCCGCCAAGAUCUGUCAACUCAGCAAUCAAUGCUGCUACAACAACCAAAUGAUUUACGAGUGUUUUCUUUUUCAUCUUACUUAAAUACUGUUAGUUACGCAAAUGGUGUGCCUCCACUGAUAGGGAGUCGUGAAACAAGUACUAUACGUC